GUGCUUGCUUCGGCAGCACACCUACCAAAAUCGGAACGAUACACAGAGAAUUGAUAUCACCCCUGCACGAGGAUGGCACGCAAAUUCAUGAAGUGUUCCAUAUUUUU